GGAAGUUUGGGUGAGUGGCUAAAACCAGCAGUUUGCUAAACUGCCGUACGGGCAACCGUACCGGGGGUUCGAAUCCCCCAGCUUCCGC
rnacentral:tRNA from 1 species